GUGCCAGCCGCCGCGGUAAUACGGGGGGGGCAAGCGUUGUUCGGAAUUACUGGGCGUAAAGGGCGCGUAGGCGGUUCGAUAAGUCAGCUGUGAAAACCAUGGGCUUAACUCAUGGCCUGCAGUUGAGACUGUCGGGCUGGAGUGUGGGAGAGGAGAGUGGAAUUCCUGGUGUAGCGGUGAAAUGCGUAGAUAUCAGGAGGAACACCGGUGGCGAAGGCGGCUCUCUGGACCACAACUGACGCUGAGGCGCGAAAGCUAGGGGAGCAAACAGGAUUAGAAACCCCAGUAGUCC
rnacentral:rRNA from 1 species